GUCACUAAUGAAUUGCCACAUUGAACCAUAAAAGCAGAGGGCUGCAAAGCAAACUUUCUAGUACUACCUACUUGGCUUGAGCCAUGUUCCGAGUGAGAAUGAAGGGUUUCACUGGAGGCCUCUCCUGGCGAGAUGAGUUAGAAGUUGAUGCCUAAGAAGGAAAUUAAUUAUGAGAGGUGAAUUUGCCAUUUUACCCAACAUACCAUACGGGCUCUUAAGUCUUCAGGUGCUUGAAAAGCUCUGGAUUCAAAAUUCACUCACUUUCUAUUUAUCAGUCUCUAAGAUAUAGCAGCAGAACACUAACGGUAGAGAUUCCUUAGCUCUCCUGAGGGGGCCUGAGUACCUUGCAAAAAAGAAAGAAAGAGAAAGUUCUCCCAGGAAUCAUGUCACUAGAAGUAAAAAAUUACUCGGCUUUAAAAUACCCUGUCCAAAGAAGGAGAUUCCAAAGCCCUCUUCCAUGUUCCAUCUAAAUCCCUUGAGCUGAACUUGAAGCCCCUUUCUUCAGCCUGGCCUUCAGUUAAAAAGUUGAAUCACUACGACCCUUCUAAAACCUCUUCCAAUGUACUUAUGCACUUAAUUGUCAAGAACUUCUACGGUGCUUUAGAAGUCAAUGUUCCCAAAGGAAAGGGAGAAGGAUUGGUUAGUAGUUUCCAUAUAGACGUAUAUAGAAAAGUUUCAAGGAACCUUGGCUUUCUAGGGGCAUGCUGAAACAAAGGAUGGUUAAAGAAAAGGUGCUCACUUAGUUCUAGCUCGAUCACUUUCAGAACCAAUUCCAAUACCACAUGAAAGCACAUUAAAACAACAACAACACAACGAUUACAACAAACAAACAAAUGAACAAGAAAAAACAAAAAACUCACACACAAAGAAAGGGACAGGGCAGGACCCAGAAAAGUCCAGCCUCAAAAUGCUUGAAAAGCACUCAUCUAGACAUGCUCAAGGGGCCUUAUAACCUUAGAAUAUUAAUUGUUCAUUCUUUGAUCUCUUAACAUGAAGAACUAGGUUGAUGUUAUCCUGAGGCAAGAGCUCCUGGGCUAAUUAGUACAAAUCAAAUUAGGAAGAGGUUUCUCUGAGGACUUAAAUAAAUGCCUGUGACUUGCUGAUAAAUUCAACCCAAUUCAUGUUGUGUCCUGAACCAAAGAACAAGUGGCAGCAGAGCCUAUUCUUUUGAAGCAGCAGCUCCAAAACAGGGUUAUGAUGUUCAAAGAUAGCCAAAGCUGUUACACCAGGUUUCUUUACCAGUUUACUGGACAUUCUGUGCAUGGAAAUGCCCUUGCUGUGUCUCCUACGUGGGUAAUCUAAAGGUGUGACAGUGCAUCAUUGUGGCAAGGUUAAAUUCUAAUUCCUCCUCCAACCUAAGCAUAUCCCCCUGGUCUUUUAUUUCACUCUUCCUACUCUUUUCUCCCUCUCCUCCAGUUCUACCUUUCUUCUCCAUUCCCAUCCUCUUCCUCUCUUCCCCUUCAUUAUAGUCAGCACAAUUUUUUUUUUUGAGAUGGAGUCUCAUUCUGUCACCCAGGCUGGAGUGCAGUGGCAUGAUCUCAGCUCACUGCAACCUCUGCCUCCCAGGUUCAAGCAAUUCUCCUGCCUCAGCCUCCCGAGUAGCUGGGAUCACAGACGCGCACCACCACACCCGGCUAUUUUUAGUAGAGGGGGUUUCGCCAUGUUGGCCAGGCUGGUCUCAAACUCCGGGCCUCAAGUGAUCUACCCGCCUCGGCAUUCCAAAGUGCUGGGAUUACAGGCAUGAGCCACCGUGGUGGCCAGUUAGCACAGAUUUUAAAGGUUUAACUCCCUAUGCCUUCCCUCAGCAGCCACAGCUUUCCACAACCAAAACCAAUUUUUAUUUCAGAGACAUUUCUGUCCCCCAUGGUAUACCACAAAAUUACAAAUGACUACAAGUGUGUUACAGAUUAAAAAGCACUGGGGAACACAUUAAAUUAAAGAGAAAGCUACCUUAGUGACCCUUCGGCCUUUCUAUACUCAUCUUGAUAAAAACAGUGAUUUUAUGGAGACUUAAAAGGAUCUUAAUUUGAUCUCCUGUAGAAUACUCAAAUCUCUGGCAGUAGAUUUCUCUGGCCAGGCUUACCUCUCUUGAAGAGUCUCUUUCUCUCAGGAUCUUUAUUUCCUGGUCAAUGCUCUCAAUCUCUUCUAAGCUGAUAUCAAUCCACCUCUGAAGGUGAAGAAGAUAAUAUUCACGAACACGCUCAUCAUCUGCUUGACCACUUUCCACAGCAGAUUUCAUUGCAGACAACCUAUGCUCCAACUCCUUCUUCUGCUUGUAUCUGUUCCACAGAAAAGCAUUACCCAUGAACUUACAAAUGAAGAGGUAUUCCUUCAAAAGAAGGCCUCAAUAAGAUUUUACCUUUGCAAAUGAUAGGGUAGUAAGCAUACCAAUUUCCACCUUGGCAGGGAUAUAGAUUCUAUACCCCAGAAUUAGCCACCAGGCAGUUCCCUCAGAUGACAAGUUAGGGCCCAGCAGGGGCUGAGGAGUACCUUCUGAAGCCAGAAAAAUACAGAAGUAACCGGAUCUCAGCAAGUCCUUUAGGGAAGAUGAGUACCUUAGUCAUUUGAUUAUACUGGCCUUUACUAGGGUGGGUGCUUAGUAUCGCAACACAGUGCUUCCUGUGAUGCUUCCAUUUUGGGAACUACACCUUCAAAAAAAUCAUAGAAUCUUAGGGGUCAUUUACCUGCCACUGAUGCAGGAAUGCCUUGUGAAACAGCCUAAAAAAUGAUCAACUCUUUUUUUCUUCUGGGCAAAACUUUCGCAGCUCUUCUGGCUCAUCCUUUUAUCAUCUGAAGACUCAUAACCACCCUGGCUGCCUUUCUUUUUCAGGAUGCAUUCUAGUAUGUCAUCUGACAAAUGUCUACUGAGUACCUAUUGUGUGACAGGCACCAUUCUCAGUGCUGGAGACACAGCAGCAUAUAAAAGUCCUUGGUCUCAUGAAGCAUUCAUUCCAGUGGGAGUAGACAAAAAGAAAUAGAUGAGUUAGGUCGUGAUAAGUGCUAUGAAAGAGCAAAAAGUAAGGUCAAAUGCAUACAGUGAUGGUGGAAAAGUAGCGGUGCUAUUAUAUACAAGGUAGUCAGAAGAGAACUCUCUGAAGAGAUGACAGUGAACAAAGACUUCAGGAAAAUAACUAAGCCAAUAUCUAGAAGAGUAUGCUAAGGAAUAAAAGCAAAUACGAGGGCUGUGAGGUGGGAGCGUGCCUGGCCUGACAUGGCUGAGAAAUAACAAGGUGGCCAGUAUGGCUGAGAUAAAAAAGAGUGAUAGAAAAUGAGGUCAGACAUAGCCAGGGCCAUAAUGUGUAGAACCUGGUAGGUCACAAUAACCAAAUAUCAAAUAUCAUGGUAUUUUGAAUGGGAAAGCCACUGGAGGCUUUUGAAUACAUGACAUGAAUAGAGUGACAUAAAAACACUUUUAAAAAUAUGGGCCACUCUGGCUGUUGUGUGGAGUAUGGGCUGUGGGGGCUAUGAGGCAAGGAUAUAAGCAGGGAAAGCAACUAAGAGGAUACUGCCACAAUCCAAGUGAGAGAUGGUGACCUGAAAUAGGAAGGUAGUGAUGGAGAUAGUGGGAUGUGGGUAUAUUUAAAAUAUAAAAUAGAUAGGAUUUGUUGAUUUAUUGGAUGUAAGAGCCUGAAGGAAAGAGAGAAGUCAAGGAAAAACAUCAAGAUUUCCAAGAGACGUAUCUUGAAAUAUCUCUGCUUGAAAUCCCACUUUAGACUCUCCAGAAUCAGAUGUUCCUCAGUAGGUCUUCACCCAAAUCAGGGGGUCUUAAGCUGAAGUCCACAGAGAGUUCAGUGUGGUGGGGGUGGUCCUUGAACUCCCACAAAUUUUAUACAGAACUCUACCUGUAUGCUUUCUUUUUCUUUCUUCUUUUUUUUUUUGGCUGAGAAAUUUUUAUAGAUUUUAUCAAAUUGUCAAAGGGGCAAGGGGUCCAUGACCCAUGAAAAGUCAAGAACCGGCCGGGCACAGUGGCUCAGCCCUGUAAUCCCAGGACUUUGGGAGGCUGAGGUGGGUGCAUCAUGAGGUCAGGAGAUCAAGACCACCCUGGCCAACAUGGUGAAACCCCAUCUCUACUAAAAAUACAAAAAUUAGCUGGAUGUGGUGGCAGGCGCCUGUAAUUCCAGCUACUCAGGAGGCUGAGGCAGGAAAAUCGCUUGAACCAGGGAGUGAGAGGUUGCAGUGAGCCGAGAUCGUGCCACUGCAUUCCAGCCUGGCAACAGAGUGAGACUCCAUCUCAAAAAAAAAAAAAAAAAAAAAAAAAAAAGUCAAGAACCACUGUUCUGAAAAGGCUAUUAUAAAAAUGUUUAGGCUCUUCUGUUCCUUUUACCUAACAAGUGGACAUUUACUAUAAUGUUACGAAUAACUGACACAUCAUCAUCCUAAGAAGCUUUUUGAGUAAAACACUACAAAGAACUACAAUUCCUAGUUCAUGAAUGCUAUCAGAGAUAUUACUUGAGAAUGUUUAACUCCAAUCUCACUCCUAUCCCCAACCCUCUUUCCUGGAUGUACCUAAGUCACGGGAAAAAAAUAACAUACGAGGACCUUAGGGUGAUAUAAUUCAGGGUAAAUUCAGGGUUAGUCUAGUAGUCCUCUGAAUAAGGUUCUUUUGUUUCUUUUCCCAUUCUCUGCAUGCUUAAGGCCUAACUACUGCACUCUGCUCCUUCCUUUUCUUCUACUUCCUAGCUUCUAUGACUUUGCUCAUCAUCUUUGUUUGUUUGUUUGUUUUUGAGAUAGAGUCUUGUUCUGUCACCCAGGCUGGAGUGCAGCCGCACAAUUUCAGCUCACUGCAACCUCCACCUCCUGGGUUCAAGUGAUUCUCCUGCCUCAGCCUCCCAAGUAGCUGGGAUUAUAGGUGUGCACCACCACACCCAGCUAAUUUUUGUAUUUUUAGUAGAGAUGGGGUUUUGCCAUGUUGGCCAGGCUGGUCUUGAACUCCUGACGUCAGAUGAUCUGCCUGCCUUAGCCUCUCAAAGUGCGUUCCAGGCGUGAGCCACCGCGCCCAGCCUGCUCAUCAUCUUUUAAACUUCUAACUCAACACUUGUUCAUUUGGGCCAGUGUUUUUAAAACUGUUUUAGUAAAAGAACCUUUUCUUCUAAUGAGAGAUGCCACGGAACUCCCAUAAUUAAUAAACAAGUAAAAUUUACCUUGGUUAAAUCAGGAGGGCUGUCAACACCCGCCCCCCCAACCCCCAGGCAUUGCAGUGAAAUUUUAGGGCUCCAAGGAACAUAUGGAAAACUACUGUCUUAGACCUUCAUCACUGUUAUGGAUUCUCCAUGGUGGGCCAUUACAUGGAAAUACUCCCUGUUACCCUAGAAUCCCCUAUCCUUGUAACCCUUCUGACCCUGGGCAACUUCCAUUUCCUUUCUCUGUUCCCAAGCUGUUGAAGAGAGUUAAGGAAUUAGAAACUUGUAUCAAAUGGGUCAACUACAAAUCACUAUUGUCAAACUUUGGCUGAGUGGUCACCCUUGCUCAGCCAUCCUUUCGUUCAUCUUUUGUGAAGACUAUUAUCACCAUCACACUCACCAGAUGGCCAGCCAAUGUAGAAUUCAAUUUCCCUCUUCACCAUAAAAUCUCUGUAACUGGCCGGGAAUGGUGGCUCACGCCUGUAAUCCCAGCACUUUGGGAGGCCGAGGCAGGCGGAUUGCCUGAGGUCGGGAGUUCGAGACCGGCCUAACAAGGAAAAACUCCAUCUCGGCCGGGCGCAGUGGCUCACGCCUGUAAUCCCAGCACUUUGGGAGGCUGAGGUGGGUGGAUCACAAGGUCAGGAGAUCGAGACCAUCCUGGCUAACACGGUGAAACCCCACCUCUACUGAAAGUACAAAAAAUUAGCCGGGUUUGGUGGUGGGCGCCUGUAGUCCCAGCUACUCGGAGGCUGAGGCAGGAGAAUGGCUUGAACCCGGGAGGCGGAGCUUGCAGUGAGCCGAGGUCGCGCCACGGCACUCCAGCCUGGGCAACAAGAGUGAAACUCUGUCUCACAAAAAAAAAAAAAAAAAAAAAACAACUCGAUAACUUCACUCUUCCUCUUUUACUGUUGUCUUUAAGGAGCUGAUUCUGUCUCUACCAAGCCAUUUCCAAGGUAAUAUCUUUGUGUUUUUUUUGUUUUGGUCUCACUUCGUUGCGCAGGCUGGAGUGCAGUGGUGUGAUGACAGCUCACUUUGGCCUCUAGCUCCUGGGCUCAAGUGAUCCUCUCACCUCAGCCUCCCGAGUAGCUAAGACUACAGGCACACAUCACCAUGCCCAGCUAAUUUUUAAUUUUUUUGUAGAGACGGGGGUCUCACUACGUUGCCCAGGCUGAUCUUGAACUCCUGCCUCAAAUGACCCUCCUGCCUCAGCCUCCCAAAGUGCUGCGAUUAAAGGCACAAGCCACUGUGCCCAACCAAAGGUAAUGUCUUUACCACUCCACUUUUGUUAUCAAUCUAGUACCCCCCACACAUUCUUCCGGGCCUCACUCUAUUUAUUGAUCAUCCUCCUGGUCAUUAGCAGCUAGUUUUUCACUCUACUGGUGCCUUUCCCCUGUCUUAGAAACACUUUCCCUCAACUCAUUUUUCUACCCUUUCAAAUGAUCACUCUUCUCUUUAUUUUUGAGACAGGGUCUCUACUCUGUCACCCAGGCUUGAGUACAGUGGUGUGAUCACAGCUCACUGCAGCCUCAACCUCUCAGACUCAAGCCAUCCUCCAACCUCAGCCUCCUGAGUGGCUGGGACUACAGGUGUGCACCACCACCCAGCUAAUUUUUGUAUUUCUUGUAGAGACAGGGUUUCACCAUAUUGCCCAGGCUGGUCUCGAACUUCUAGACUCAAACAAUCUGCCCGCCUUGUCCUCCCAAAGUGCUGGGAUUGCAGGAAUGAGCCACCACACCUGGCCUACUCUUCUCUUUUCUGUGCUACAGUGGGAAUGAUACUAGAACUGGGAAUUUGAAGACCUGGGUUUAAAUCCUAACCUAGCCACUUACUAGCUAUGUAACUUUGGGCAAUUCAAUUCUCAGAGCCCCCCCCCUUUUUUUUAAUCUCUAAAAUGGGGAUAAGAAUGUCUAUUUCAUGGGGUUGUUAAAAGGAUCAAAUGGAAAAACACACAUCAGAGUGCUUUGUGAGCAGCAAUACACUGUUAGCUGAUAAAGAAAUUGAGGCUGGUGGGGGGUUGCUAAAUGAUGCCACAUCUAUUAAGUGGUAGAAAUUGGAUUAGUUACCCCAGGUCUGAAUCCUAAGUCUAGGCUUUUUCCGCUACAGCAUUUUGCUUCCAUCUUUUUUAUGACCACUCUGUCUCUCCCAAAGACACCUCCAAGUACCCACUAUGAUCCAAUUACUGGGUUAAGCACCAAGGGGAUGCAAUUAUAUACAACGACAUAAUUAGUAUACUGAGAUACAAUCAGUCAAGGUCUCUGACCUUGAGGAGUUUCAAGUCUAGAGACUGACAGAUAGUUAUACUGUGAUAAGUAACAUGAACUAAAUGCCAUGGUAUCUGGGAGGGAAGAUAAUUAGGGAAAGGCUUCAAGGAGGACAUAACAUUUGUUUUCUCUUUUCCAGGCUCCUUUAAGUACCUGUACCUUACUGAGUUUCUUUUUUUUUUUUGCAACAGGGUCUUGCUCUGUCGCCCAGGCUAGAGUGCAGUGGCGCAAUCUUGGCUCAUGGCAACCUCCACCUCCCGGGUUCAAGCGAUUCUCCUGCCACAGCCUCCCGAGUAGCUGGGAUUACAGGUGCCUACCACCAGGCCCAGCUAAAUUUUUUUGUAUUUUUAGUACAGACGGGGUUUCGCCACCUUGGCCAGGCUGGUCUUGAACUCCUGACCUUGUGAUCUACCCACCUCAGUCUCCCAAAGUGCUGGGAUUACAGGUGUGAGAGACCGCACCCAGCCACCUUACUGAGUUUCUGAUUGCUCUUUCCUUCCUCUUCCUUCUCCCUUAACUUGCCCCAAAGUUUUAUCCUUGACUUUUUUUCUGUCUACAUGUUUUUCCUUGGCAAACUCAUCUACACCAACGAAAGCACAGGCCUCCUAAAUUUUUCACAUCAGUCACAAAACAGUCUCAUAAAUUUUACUUGCACAUUUCAAGUAAAUGUGUCUAUGGAAAUGACUAUCCAGUUGUCACUUUAGGACCUAAAUUCAGUAAAUCCAAAACUAGACUCAUUACUUACCCAGCGUCCACUUCUCUAUUUCUCUCAAAAGGAUGGAGGUGCUGUUACUCAAGCAGACUCAUACUCCUCAAAUAUGGGAAAUAGAGGACAUACAUGAAGAAACAGGUUUUGAGACAGAGGACAUACCAUUCAGCUGUUUUAUGUAAGAUGGCCUCAGUAUCUAAAGGCAUGGGUUGGGGGACUUCUGGAAAGUAAAUAAGGAUCUGAGUAAUUUGUUUUCUAACCAUGUAAACUAUUCUUGCAAAAGUAGUAUCUCUGAUAGCUAUAACUUCAUUUUUUAUCACUUCUUCCUAUUUAAAGUACUAUUAUAACAUGCUAACUUGUAUUUCUCCCUCUGCCUCUCUUCUUUUUCAGUAUUUUAUAUACACAUCACUUCUUCAUGCAGAGCUGCAACCAUACUCCUCUUAGCUUCUGCCAAACCAGACUAUUAUGUAGUCUUUGAACAUACCUAAAUAUACCCUGGCUUUGGGCUUUUGUUCAUCUUGUUUCUCCUGCUUGUCAAUAAUAAGCAUUGCUUGAGGAACUUCUAUAUGCCAAGCUCUAUGGCAGGCAUAACAUAGUGAACAAGAAAUGGCUUGUGCCCUCAUAGAGUAUAUACUGUAGUAGGGGAGAGAGACAAAACUCAGAAAGACACAUGAAAUGACUGCACACAAGUGCCAAGAAGGAAACAAACAUGAAGCAAAGAGAGAAUAAUAGUUGUUAACUACUUAAAGAGACUGAUCUGGAAAGGCCUGAGGAGUGACAUUUAAGCUGAGACCUAGAGGAUGAAGAAUUAGCCAUAUGACGAGCAUUCCAUGCAAAGAGAACUGCACACACAGACAUUCUAUAGAGGGACAGAGCUGGGUCUAUUCAAAGAACUGAAAGACGGUCAUUGUGGCUGAAGUCUAGUGAACGAGGGGAGAAUGAUACAUGGUGAGACUGAAAAGAGGCAGGCAGCAGAUCACACAAGGCCUUGGAGCUGAUUUGUCUAUCUCAGCUGAGAAAUGCUGGUAGCCUAGACUGAGGUAUGAUAGUGGAGAUGGAGAGAAAUAGAAGGAUAGAAGAUACCUUUUGUAGCUGGAAUGGAAAGGCCUUUGCUGAUGGACUGGAUGUGAAAAUUCAGAAAAAGUGAGGAAUUGAAGCUAAAUCCUAGGUUUCUGGUUUAAAAACCUAAGUCAAUGGUGGUACACUUACUGAGAUGGGUGAGGAGGCACAUUUGGGGGUUAAAAAGCCAAGGGUUCAAGGUAUGACAUGUCUGUGAAACACCCAUGAAGGAAGGGUGUUGCAAGUAUGGGUCUGAAGGUCAGGAGGGGUCUGGGCUAGUAAUACGAAUGUGGGAGACAUUAGUAUAAAGUUAAGUGUUGAUAUCUGUCAGGCAUUUAAGAAAAACGUUCAAAGCGGCAGGCCAAAGAAAUGCAAAUCAAAACAAUAGAUACUUUCUGUUUGCCCAAUUGGAUUUUCUUUUUUCUUUUCUUUUCUUUUUUUUUUUUUUUUUGAGACGGAGUCUCGCUGUUGCCAGCCCAGGCUGGAGUGCAAUGGUGCGAUCUCGGCUCACUGCAACCUCCACCUCCUGGGUUCCAGCAAUUCUCCUGCCUCAGCCUCCCAAGUACCUGAGAUUACAGGCACCCGCCACCAUGCCUGGCUAAUUUUUGUAUUUUUAGUAGAGAUGGGGUUUCGCCAUGUUGGCCAGGCUGGUCUCGAACUCCUGACCUCAGGUGAUCCACCUGCCUCAGGCUCCCAAAGUGAGCCACCGCACCCGGCCACCCAAUUGGAUUUUCUAAGUAUUAACACCCAAGACAAAUGCAGUGGAACAUAUUCUGAAACUCUGUUAUUGUAGAAAGCAACACUUUUACCACAUAUCAAGAGCCUCAAAAUAUUCAAACACUUUGACCCAGUCACCGGCUCUAGAAAUCUACCCUAAGGAAACAGUGACAGAUACAUUUAAAGAUGUUUGUUUAUGGCAUUACUCAGAAUAGCAAAAAACCAGUGUCUAAAUAUUUGACAAUAACAGAUUAAAUAAUUAUGGUACAACUAGAGCAUGGAACAUUCAAUAUCAUGGUUUCAAAAGACACGAGGAAAUGCUCAUGGUAUAAUGUUAGGUUAAAAAAACAGGAUAAAAAGCUAUAGUUACAGCAUUCCAAAUUUAUUAGCUUAAAUAACUAUGUAACUGAAAGGAAACACAUCAGAAAGUUAACAAUGAUCAUCUAUGAGUGCUAGGAUUGAGGCUUAUUUUUUAUUUAAAAAAUAUUCUUCUGUUUUGCAAACUUUCUACAAUGAGCACUAUGACUUUUACAUUCAGAAAAAUCUUUUUUUUUUUUUUUUUUUUGAGACAGGGUCUCGCUCUGUCACCUAGGCUGGAAUACAAUGGUGCGAUCACAGCUCACUGCAGCCUCAACAAGUGAUCCUCCCAGCUCAGCUCAGCCUCUGGAGUAGCUGGGACUACAGGCCUGUGCCACCAUACCUGGCUAGUUUUUUAUUUUUAUUUUUUGGUACAGACAGAGUCUUACUUUGUUGCCUAGGCUGGUCUUGAACUCCUGGGCUCAAGUAAUCCUCCCGCCUUGGCCUCCCAAAGAGUUGGGAUUACAGGCAUGAGCCACCGCACUCAGCCUAAUUUCUAUUUUUAACCAUCCUUUAAGACUCAUCUCAAAUACCAUUUAUGUUCUUUUUUUUUGAGACACAGUCUCAUUCCAUUACUGAGGCUGGAGUGCAAUGGCGCAGUCUCGGCUCACUGCAGCCUCCGACUCCCGGGCUCAGGCGAUUCUGCUGCCUCAGCCUCCCGAGUACCUGGGAUUACAGGAGUGCAUCACCACCCCCGGAUAAUUUUUUUUUUUUUUUUUGCAGAGAUGGCGUUUUGCCAUGUUGACCAGGCUGGUCUUGAACUCCUGACCUCAAGGGAUCCACCUGCCUCAGCCUCCCGAAGUGUUGGGAUUACAGGCAUAAGCCACCGCGCCUGGUGUCAAAUGCCAUUAUGUUCUGAAACCUUUUCUUCAUCCCUCCAACCAGAUGUGACCACUCCCUCAUCUUUCUCUUGCAGUUUUUUUUUUUUUUUUUUUUUGUAUAAUUAUUUGGAUACCAAACUCACUGUUUAAACUACCUAUUAUCUGCUGACAGGCCGCCCUCAACUUCUUACAAAGGACAGGAUGUUAAAUUCCAUUUCGUAUCAGUCUAGCCCAUAUCCUCAGUCACUCACUAUCCCCUAACUUUAUUAUUCCUCAUGGUCCUUACCAGCGGAAAUUACAUUAUUUACUAGCUUACUGUUUGUCUCUACCACCAGAAUAAAAGCUCCAUAGCAGCACUGACUUCAUCUGGUUCUCUAACACCUAGAACAGCCCCACAGGAAGCAAUUAAUAAAUAUUUCUGAAUAAAUGAAUCAUCUUCAGCUCUCUAGACCAAGCCUCUCCUCUGAGCUUCAGACUAACAGACACCUCUACUUAUCUCCUAGGCACCUUAACCUCAACAUGUUUCUAUACUAAAUUCAUACUCUCCCCUUCCCCGAUCUUCUCUUCUUCCUCUUUCCCCUUCUCAAUAAAUUUCACAGCCAUCCACCUAAAUCAGAAACAUGGACAUCUUUCCUUGCUGCUUCCUUCUAUCUCACCUCCCACAACCAAUUGAUCACCAGGUUUCCUGUAGAUUCAACCCUCCUAAAUGUACUCCCCCAUCCCUCUACCAUUGCAAUAGUAAACCCUAGUCACCUUUGUGACUUAACUGGGUCUAAUCUUUUCCCUCACUGUUUCCUAACUGCUGGUACAGUGUACUAGCUAAAAUGCAAAUGUGAUCAUGCUACUAUUUGAAAAGAAACAGCCAGGGCACAGCGGCUCACACCUGUAAUCCCAGCACUUUGGGAGCCCGAGGUGGGUAGAUCACCUGAGAUCAGGAGUUCGAGACCAGCCUGGCCAGCACGGCAAAACCCCAUCUCUACUAAAAAUACAAAAACUAGCCGGGCGUGGUGGCAGGUGCCUGUAAUCCCAGCUACUUGAGAGGCUGAGGCAGAAUUGCUUGAACCCAGGAGGUGGAGGUUGCAGCGAGCCAAGAUCACACCAUUGCACUCCAGCCUGGGUGACAAGGGUGAAACUCUGUAUAAUAAUAAUAAUAAUAAUAAUAAUAAUAAAGAAAAAAGAAACAGAACUCUUCAGUGGAUCUCAGUCACCAACCAGAGUAAGCUCUUUGGCGUGUCCUACCUAAUAGCAGCUGACAUUUACAGAAUACUCACCACAUGCCAGAUAUUGUGCUGUUUUAUGUGAUUUUUCCCAUUUGUGCUUAUUAACCCUGAGAUAGGUACACAUGCAUCUCAACUUACAAUAGGGCUGCAUCUCAAUAAAUCCAUCAUAAAUGGAAAAUAUGGUAAGUUGAAAACGCAUUUAAUACACCUUAUUGAACAUCAUAGCUUAGCCUAGUUUACCUUCAACAUGCUCAGAACACUUAUAUUAGCCUACAGUUGGGCAAAAUCAUCUAACACAAGGCCUAUUUUAUAAUAAAGUGUUGAAUAACUCAUGUAAUUUAUUGAUGUUCCCCUGACUGUGUAUUGCUUCUGCACCAAUAUAAAGUUAAAAAAUUCUAAGACAAGCCAUCGCAAAUCGGGGACCAUCUGUACCAUUAUUACUUAGAUUUCACAUAUGAGGAAAGCUGAGGCUCAGUUAGGUUAAAUAACUUCCCCAAAGUCCAACAGAUUAUAAGUAAAGCUGGAUCUCAAACCCAGGUCUCUGACUCUAUGACCCAUACUCUUAGCCACAAAUAAUAAUAGUUGACUUUGAGUGUUUACUGUGUCAAACAUUGGGCUAACUGCUUUAUAUAUAUUUCUCUUUUAAUCCUCAUAAACUACUUUAUGAGGAAGAACCUAUUAUUAUCUGAAUUUUGCAGCUGGGGAAAUUAAGGUACUGAAAGAUUAAAUAACUUACCACAAAUCACAGUGAUUAAUCACAGUCGUCGAGCUGGGAUUCAAACACCUUACCAAGUUCUCAGCAACAAGUUUCUCUUCACGUUCCUCACAUCCCAGGCUCUCCUUGAUGUGGACCCUACAACAUUCUUCAGUAUCAUUCCUUCCCCCUUACCACCACCCUCUUUGUGUUCUACCAUCACCUAAUUGCUCAUAGCUGCUGUUUUUGGUCUACACAUCUCCACCCACCACUGUUUCUUUAAUGCCUCUGUGGCUUUACUAAGGCUUUACAUACUCUGCCGGCUAAUGCCCUCCUCUCCUCUUCCCCUGGAUAUUCCUAUUUACCCUUAAAGAACUCAGCACAGGAGUCACCUCUUCCAGGGAGCUUUCUCCUCUCUCCUGCUCCCUUUGGUUAGGUGCCCUUCCUGUCUGCUCUCAUAGUACCUUGUGCAUCCCUCCACAACAUCAGUUUAUAUUGAUAUUCUGUUUCUAUGCCCGUUUUCCUCACCAGAUUGUAUGCUCCUCCAAGGCAGGGACCACUCAUACUCACACAAAUACCUAUACAGUUUGUAUCCCCAGUGCCUAGCAUAGUUCCUAGACAUCAUGACCACCCAUUAAAUGUUGUUUAAAAAACAAACAACAACAACAAAAAAAACCUAAGAAAGUAAGCAACUUUUCCAAGGUCACACAAUGAAGCUGUGCCAGGACUAAGAUCAGUUCAGGAUGUUACACAUCUACUCCAGUAGUCUGAACAGAGCUCCUCAAUCAGUGGACCAUAAAAUGGCCUAGCUUUGCCUUUCAGAGACAUCUACCCCACUGUACCAUAUGAACAUUGCUAUGAUGUGAUGUGGAAAAGGUUGGGAGACACUCUGCUAAACUACAUUGCUGCUGUUGCCAACCAUAAGGUAGUAAGGGUCUGAUAAGUAGGUAUAAUCAUCUCAACAAAAGCAGAGGCUUCUUGGAAAAACUCAGGAAAGUUUGCUCUCCCUAGGGCCUAUGCUCAAUAAGAACCAAGAAAGUGACACAUACCAUUCUGGCCCCCCACCACCCGCCAAGAAAGCAUGCCCCUGAAAAGCACCGCCAUUGGGCAGGCCUCAUAUUAUAGCUAUUGACCCACCUCUGUAUUUUAGCCUGUCUUUGAGAUGCCAUAGCAACGAGACUAGGAUAAGCC
rnacentral:lncRNA from 1 species